rnacentral:lncRNA from 1 species
UUUUCUCCCUAUGUUGGAGGAAUGGCAUUCUCUCCUACUUCAUCUCCGGGCUACAGCCCAUCAUCCCCUGGCUACAGUCCGUCCUCCCCUGGAUACAGUCCCACGUCCCCUGGUUAUAGUCCCACCUCGCCCGGGUACAGCCCCACUUCUCCUGGGUACAGUCCCACCUCUCCAACCUAUAGUCCUAGUUCUCCAGGUUAUAGUCCAACCAGUCCGGCCUAUUCUCCUACAAGUCCAUCAUACUCACCCACCUCACCCAGCUAUAGCCCCACUUCUCCAAGUUACAGCCCCACAUCUCCAAGUUACAGCCCUACAUCUCCAAGUUACAGUCCAACUUCACCAAGUUACAGUCCAACAUCACCUGCUUACAGCCCGACAUCACCUGCUUACAGCCCGACUUCACCUGCAUAUAGUCCCACAUCACCUUCCUACAGCCCUACAUCGCCUUCCUAUAGCCCUACAUCACCUUCCUACAGCCCAACGUCGCCCUCCUACAGCCCCACAUCUCCAUCCUACAGCCCAACCUCACCGGCCUACAGCCCAACUUCUCCUGGUUACAGCCCAACUUCUCCUAGUUAUAGUCCAACUUCUCCCAGCUAUAGCCCUACAUCUCCAAGUUACAAUCCUCAGUCAGCCAAAUACAGUCCAUCAUCGGCAUACUCUCCAAGCAGUCCAAGAUU